UGGGAAUUUGGACAAUGGGCGAAAGCCUGAUCCAGCAAUGCCGCGUGUGUGAAGAAGGCCUUCGGGUUGUAAAGCACUUUUGUCCGGAAAGAAAUCCUUGGCUCUAAUACAGUCGGGGGAUGACGGUACCGGAAGAAUAAGCACCGGCUAACUACGUGCCAGCAGCCGCGGUAAUACGUAGGGUGCAAGCGUUAAUCGGAAUUACUGGGCGUAAAGCGUGCGCAGGCGGUUUGCUAAGACCGAUGUGAAAUCCCCGGGCUCAACCUGGGAACUGCAUUGGUGACUGGCAGGCUAGAGUAUGGCAGAGGGGGGUAGAAUUCCACGUGUAGCAGUGAAAUGCGUAGAGAUGUGGAGGAAUACCGAUGGCGAAGGCAGCCCCCUGGGCCAAUACUGACGCUCAUGCACGAAAGCGUGGGGAGCAAACAGGAUUAGAUACCCUGGUAGUCCACGCCCUAAAACGAUGUCAACUAGUUGUUGGGGAUUCAUUUCCUUAGUAACGUAGCUAACGCGUGAAGUUGACCGCCUGGGGAGUACGGUCGCAAGAUUAAAACUCAAAUGAAUUGACGGGGUCAUAGCUGUUUCCU
rnacentral:rRNA from 1 species